AGUCGAGCGGAGCACAUCAUUGGAAUCCUUCGGGAGGAAGAGGAUGUGGCUUAGCGGCGGACGGGUGAGUAACGCGUGGACAACCUGCCCUAUGCAGGGGGAUAACAUCCGGAAACGGGUGCUAAUACCGCAUAAGCGCACAGUACCGCAUGGUACAGUGUGAAAAGCUGAGGCGGCAUAGGAUGGGUCCGCGUUGGAUUAGGCAGUUGGCGGGGUAACGGCCCACCAAACCGACGAUCCAUAGCCGGCCUGAGAGGGUGGACGGCCACAUUGGGACUGAGACACGGCCCAGACUCCUACGGGAGGCAGCAGUGGGGAAUAUUGCACAAUGGGGGGAACCCUGAUGCAGCGACGCCGCGUGGGUGAGGAAGUACUUCGGUAUGUAAAGCCCUAUCAGCAGGGAAGAAAAUGACGGUACCUGACUAAGAAGCCCCGGCUAACUACGUGCCAGCAGCCGCGGUAAUACGUAGGGGGCAAGCGUUAUCCGGAUUUACUGGGUGUAAAGGGAGCGUAGACGGCGUGCCAAGUCUGAUGUGAAAGGCCGGGGCUCAACCCCGGGACUGCAUUGGAAACUGGCAUGCUAGAGUGCCGGAGGGGCAAGCGGAAUUCCUAGUGUAGCGGUGAAAUGCGUAGAUAUUAGGAGGAACACCGGUGGCGAAGGCGGCUUGCUGGACGGUAACUGACGUUGAGGCUCGAAAGCGUGGGG
rnacentral:rRNA from 1 species